AUACGUCUGUCUAGAUGGAAUUUGAUUGAUUCUGAUUGAGUCAGGCAACAACCUCUUCGCAUACAUUCUGCUAAGAAGAUGGGCAGAGAACUUGGUCACCAUUAAAGCUAAUCAAUUUCAUCCGCUGGCCGUCCAUCAAAAUUUGUAACAAGCCCCGCGGGGCGUUUGCACAGUUGAUGAAGAUCAGGAAAGCCUUGGCUAGUGAUUUGAUUUGUCGAUUGGUUGGCUGAUGUUGGCCAGAAAAUAAACAGCAGAAGGAAGAGCAGGAGAAGCUGAGCUCAGCCACCGGCGAACACGGGUAACCUGAAGUCUAGACCGGCUGACCACUUGUCAUGACGAAAUCAGUCAUAUAAAAAAUGGAUCAGAAAGGCCCUAGCUUGGAUCCUUGGCAUACCAAACAUACGCGACGACACCAAAAAUGCUUCAUAGUACAAAAACAAUGUCUUCCCCUUACGCAUCUUAAAUAUUAUUAGUAGACUUCGGAAGAACCAUAACUCGUGAAUAAAAUUCUAAAUUUUAA